rnacentral:rRNA from 1 species
AGGGUGCGAGCGUUAAUCGGAAUUACUGGGCGUAAAGCGCAUGCAGGUGGUUGUUAAGUCAGAUGUGAAAGACCCGGGGCGUCAACCUCGGAACUGCAUUUGAAACUAGGCAGACUAGAGUACUGUAGAGGGGGGUAGGAAUUUCAGGUGUAGACGGUUGAAAUAGACGUAGAGAUCUGAAGGAAUACCGGUGGCGAAGGCGGCCCCCUGGACAGAUACUGACACUCAGAUGCGAAAGCGUGGGGAGCAAACAGGAUUAGAUACCCUGGUAG